rnacentral:misc_RNA from 1 species
GAUGAAGAACGUAGCGAAAUGCGAUAAGUAGUGUGAAUUGCAGAAUUCAGUGAAUCAUCGAAUCUUUGAACGCACAUUGCGCCCCUUGGUAUUCCAUGGGGCAUGCCUGUUCGAGCGUCAUUUGUACCCUCAAGCUUUGCUUGGUGUUGGGUGUUUGUCCCGCGCUCUUUUGCGCAAGACUCGCCUUAAAUCAAUUGGCAGCCGGCAUGUUAGCCUGGAGCGCAGCACAUUUUGCGCCCCUUGCUUGCUUGUUUUGGCCCCCAUCAAGUCCAUAUAUUUGCUCUUGACCUCGGAUCAGGUAGGGAUACCCGCUGAACUUAAGCAUAUCAAUAAGCGGAGGA